UACGUAGGGGGCAAGCGUUGUCCGGAAUCAUUGGGCGUAAAGAGCGUGUAGGCGGUCCGGUAAGUCGGCUGUGAAAGUCCAGGGCUCAACCCCUGGGAUGCCGGUCGAUACUGCCGGACUAGAGUUCGGAAGAGGCGAGUGGAAUUCCCGGUGUAGCGGUGAAAUGCGCAGAUAUCAGGAGGAACACCUAUAGCGAAGGCAGCUUGCUGGGACGUUACUGACGCUAAGGCGCGAAAGCGUGGGGAGCGAACAGG
rnacentral:rRNA from 1 species